GCGGUGAGGGCGACAGCCCAGGGGACAUCAGAGGACCAGGUGAGCAGGAGGAAAGAUCUGGAAGCACAAGCGUACCCCGGCGGCAGGAACUGACAAGCAGCUGGGAAAGGACCACUGCCUGGGGACACUGGAUGGAGGAAGCUUGAAGGAAGACACUGGGCCUUGUUCUCCGUCUGAAAUGCUGAUCAUCUUGAGACUCAUCUGCGUGGUUGCGAGUGUCAGAGCUGUUCCUUUUCACUGCUGCGUAAUAUUCCACUAUAUUGAUGAUCCUCAUCUGCUUGCUGAUCGGCCCAGUGAGCGCUCACCAUGCAAGUGCAGGGGUCACCCUGGGAUGGUGUUCUGGAGGCUGGAAGUCCAAGAUCAAGGUGCCGGCAGAUCCGGUGUCUGGUGAGGGCUGCUUCCUGGUGUGUAGACGGCUGCCCUCUCCCCAUAUCCUCACGUGGCAGAGAGAUGAAGCACGCUCUCUCAAGUCUUCUUAUAAGGGCACUAAUCCCACCAUGGGGGCUCCACCCUCCUGACAUCAUCACCUCCUGAAGACCCUGCCUCCUAAUACCAUCACGCUGGGGAUUGGGGUUCCAAUACAUGAGUCUGGGGGGACACACACAUUGAGUGCAUAGCACUCGUUGACCUCCUGCCCUGGAUUGCCCAGCUGCUCUGUCUAGAAGCCCAACUUCCCUGUGACUGCAGCCCUGCUCUCACUCCAAUCGCCAUUCAUGGUCAGGGCUGGGGCUGGGUGCCCUGCCCAGCCCUUGGACCCCUCCUGCAGGAGGCCAGCUGCUGCGUCCCAGGUCCCCAGGCUCGGACGUGAGGCUGCUGGGAAUCCGAGGGCUCUGGACUCACCCUUCAGUGACUCAUGGUCUGCAUCCCCUGGAAGUGUCCAAAGCAGCGCAAUGUCCCUAACGGCUUCCUCUCCACCCAAGCCCAAUGCUGCAGGCUCUCUGGAAGCUUCAGUCCUGUGGCUUUGCUCCAGACCACAGGGAGUCUCUCCAGGGCCCUAAUAUUUGUUCCAACCUCCUGGGUUCUCUCACUCCCGUUCUGUUGUUUCCACCCUGGCCUUUGUUGCUGAGCCCAGACAUUCCCUCUUCUGACCUUGUCUAUUGACCCAUCUUUCCAGCUUUGUCACUAGGCACUGCCCUUGGGACAUCUUUGGUGCCAUGCUCAGUACCCCACAGGGCCAAUCUUGUUCACUUCCCUGAGCUCCACGUGGCCACUACAGCUCAAGACAGCCUGAGGGGGAGGAAGGAGAGUGGCCUCUCAUUGCCACAUACCACCCACUGCAGGGCACCUUGGCACCAAGCUUGCCUGGACCACUGUUGAUGGAUUGGCCUUGCCCUCUGACCCCCAGCCUCACUCUGUCCCACUACUCUGGGCAAGGGCACCUGUGCCCAGAGGUUCCUCCAGCCCCUCUUCUGUGCCCUACUGCUCCCCUUUCCCGAGGACCCCAGACCCCCAUUAUAACCAAGGGCACAUAACCCAGCUUACUCAGUCAGAAACCCAUACCCGUGAAGACCACGUGAGCUCAAGAUCACGUAGAAACUUAACACUCAGCGAUUGGCACACAAGGGCCAGAUGUGAGCCAAAAGUGAAUGAAAGACUAUUUACAAACAGUCUUCUUUUGCCAGGAAUUCUGCCUAAUACCCGGCUUUAUGAUGUACUUUCUAUGGAAUUUCACUUGAAUGGCUCACAAUUAUAUACUUAACUACCUGCAGCUUCAUUUGCCAUGAUCAAGGGCUCAGUCCGGCCAGGGCGACACCUGGCAACAGUCAUUUAGAGGAAGCUGGUGGUGGCUACAUGAGAAGGCCACAUCAUCCCAUUUGUUCACAUCUUCUGAUCAAAUAAUGGAAACACUGAUUUCAACUAAAUAUCUUAGACAAGCCAACGCCUCAGGGCAAGGAAGCCACUUUUCUCUGGAUGCUCACAAACCAGGAUCCCUGAAACUGCACCACACCACGGUCCCUCUUCAGCCGUAAAAGUGGUCCUGCAUCCUCUGAGCGGCAGUACAUCCUACCAGGUGGCCCGCUUUUUUGUUUUUCUGCCAGCAUGAUUUUAAUGCAUGUCUACUUAAUUAUACUUAAUGCCCCUGGUUAAACUGACUCCUUUGAAGAGGAAAAGACUAAUUUGCAUGCGAAUGCAAACAGAACAAACAGAAGUAGAUGCUGGGGGAAGGAAGGAAGAUUUUUUUAUAGGUUAUCAAGAUAGCAACACAGGUGCCUCAUUUUCUACAUAGAGGUCUACUGAUAUCGGAGCUUAAUGUUUAUAAAGCACUAAGCAAUUUGCAAGGGCUCCCGCAUACAUGACCUCAUUAUAUCAAGAGCACUUCAGUGACAUGGCUUCCAUUCCUGCGCUUAGAGAAAGGGUAUCAGGCAGGACUCAGGAGCCGCUCACGCCCGCCAGGGGCUCCAAGACCAGCCGCCUUCAAGCCCUGGCAAGUCUUCUCCACUCUGUGUGUGCCUCCAGGUCAGACCCUUGGUUCUCACUCCUGUUUCCCAUAGGGCCAGAGGCUGGUGAACAUGAGUCAUUUGCUGGAUGCUUUUUGGAGGAAGGGGAUUAGGACCCAUCACUUGAGAUCUCAAGCAGACGCGUGCUCAUGCAUGAUGUAACACUGACACGGGGUUUGCCAGAACUGAGGCUUUAAAAAUGGUAAGAGAAUAUUAUUUUUCCCAAUCACCAUUUACAAGUAACUAAAGCCAUUUUCCACGGACUCCACUAAAAAUGCCAUUACUGGGCUAAAAACAAACAGAAAAUGUUGGAUCCUGAUGGAAGACUUUCCCCAAAUUAAAAGAAUGCAACCAAGUGCUGCACAGAGUGGUGGGGCCCUGACGCUCAAGCCGCAGACAAGCAGGGGGAGGGGAACUCCUUGUCUGACC